AAAUUGAAGAGUUUGAUCAUGGCUCAGAUUGAACGCUGGCGGCAGGCCUAACACAUGCAAGUCGAACGGUAACAGGAAGCAGCUUGCUGCUUUGCUGACGAGUGGCGGACGGGUGAGUAAUGUCUGGGAAACUGCCUGAUGGAGGGGGAUAACUACUGGAAACGGUGGCUAAUACCGCAUAACGUCGCAAGACCAAAGAGGGGGACCUUCGGGCCUCUUGCCAUCAGAUGUGCCCAGAUGGGAUUAGCUUGUUGGUGAGGUAACGGCUCACCAAGGCGACGAUCCCUAGCUGGUCUGAGAGGAUGACCAGCCACACUGGAACUGAGACACGGUCCAGACUCCUACGGGAGGCAGCAGUGGGGAAUAUUGCACAAUGGGCGCAAGCCUGAUGCAGCCAUGCCGCGUGUAUGAAGAAGGCCUUCGGGUUGUAAAGUACUUUCAGCGGGGAGGAAGGUGUUGUGGUUAAUAACCGCAGCAAUUGACGUUACCCGCAGAAGAAGCACCGGCUAACUCCGUGCCAGCAGCCGCGGUAAUACGGAGGGUGCAAGCGUUAAUCGGAAUUACUGGGCGUAAAGCGCACGCAGGCGGUCUGUCAAGUCGGAUGUGAAAUCCCCGGGCUCAACCUGGGAACUGCAUUCGAAACUGGCAGGCUUGAGUCUUGUAGAGGGGGGUAGAAUUCCAGGUGUAGCGGUGAAAUGCGUAGAGAUCUGGAGGAAUACCGGUGGCGAAGGCGGCCCCCUGGACAAAGACUGACGCUCAGGUGCGAAAGCGUGGGGAGCAAACAGGAUUAGAUACCCUGGUAGUCCACGCCGUAAACGAUGUCUACUUGGAGGUUGUGCCCUUGAGGCGUGGCUUCCGGAGCUAACGCGUUAAGUAGACCGCCUGGGGAGUACGGCCGCAAGGUUAAAACUCAAAUGAAUUGACGGGGGCCCGCACAAGCGGUGGAGCAUGUGGUUUAAUUCGAUGCAACGCGAAGAACCUUACCUGGUCUUGACAUCCACAGAACUUUCCAGAGAUGGAUUGGUGCCUUCGGGAACUGUGAGACAGGUGCUGCAUGGCUGUCGUCAGCUCGUGUUGUGAAAUGUUGGGUUAAGUCCCGCAACGAGCGCAACCCUUAUCCUUUGUUGCCAGCGAUUAGGUCGGGAACUCAAAGGAGACUGCCAGUGAUAAACUGGAGGAAGGUGGGGAUGACGUCAAGUCAUCAUGGCCCUUACGACCAGGGCUACACACGUGCUACAAUGGCGCAUACAAAGAGAAGCGACCUCGCGAGAGCAAGCGGACCUCAUAAAGUGCGUCGUAGUCCGGAUUGGAGUCUGCAACUCGACUCCAUGAAGUCGGAAUCGCUAGUAAUCGUGGAUCAGAAUGCCACGGUGAAUACGUUCCCGGGCCUUGUACACACCGCCCGUCACACCAUGGGAGUGGGUUGCAAAAGAAGUAGGUAGCUUAACCUUCGGGAGGGCGCUUACCACUUUGUGAUUCAUGACUGGGGUGAAGUCGUAACAAGGUAACCGUAGGGGAACCUGCGGUUGGA
rnacentral:rRNA from 5 species